rnacentral:rRNA from 1 species
GAUGAACGCUGGCGGCGUGCCUAAUACAUGCAAGUCGAGCGAACGGACGAGAAGCUUGCUUCUCUGAUGUUAGCGGCGGACGGGUGAGUAACACGUGGAUAACCUACCUAUAAGACUGGGAUAACUUCGGGAAACCGUAGCUAAUACCGGAUAAUAUUUUGAACCGCAUGGUUCAAAAGUGAAAGACGGUCUUGCUGUCACUUAUAGAUGGACCCGCGCUGCAUUAGCUAGUUGGUAAGGUAACGGCUUACCAAGGCAACGAUGCAUGCCCGACCUGGGGGGGGGACCGCCCCCACGGAACCUGGACACCGGCCCAGCCCCUCAGGGGGGGCCGCGGUGGGGAUUUUUGCCAAAGGGGGAAAACCUUGCCCAACCAACCCCGGUGGGGUAAAGAGGUCUUUCGGUUGUAAAACCCUUUUUAUUGGGGAAAAAAAUAUUUGUAAGAAACUUUGCCCUUUUGACGGUUACCAAAUAAAAAGCCCCCGCUAACUUCGUG